GCCGGAAUAGCUCAGUCGGUAGAGCACUUCACUCGUAAUGAAGGGGUCGGAGGUUCGAUUCCUCUUUCCGGCACCA
rnacentral:tRNA from 1 species